rnacentral:lncRNA from 1 species
UCCAGGUACCUGUCUGGAAGAGAAGAACUACAUACCCCAGGGGGCUUUGCAGUCAGAGAGGAGAUAUAAUUCCUGGCAAGGUCACCUGAUUGCUCUCUUCUCUCUUCCCCUUCGCUUCACUUGGCUUCUGCCCGUCCCAAAUGCAUGCAUCAUUUCAGCGUUAGCGUAAGGCCUUCGGUUCAUAAUAUUUGAUUCAUUACCUUCAAUUCUAGGUAUAUUGUAUUAUAGUGUGUUAUCUUACUUUUCAAUACCAUAUUUAGUAAAUUCAUUUUUUUCUCCUGAUUAGUUGCUGCUGUUUUUAAUUAUUUUGGGGUCACCUAUUUCCCUUUUCCAGAGAUGCGGAUUCUGUGAAAUCCCUUCAUCCCACUAGUCAUGGAACCAGGCCCAACCAGCCUGUAAACCAUUGACAGCAAGGAUUAAAGCAGUAUGUAAAAUAGCGCAGGAUGUCUACCCAGGGCUGAGGUGUCACCUCUGAAUUAAGUCCACAAAGAACAAACCAAUUCUGAACAUACUGCUGUAAAUCCUUGUGGGACACAGUAUGGGAGCCCUUCCAGGAUGUGACCUUUAGAUAUUGACAGAGGAGUUGUAUAUGCAUAUAUUCUCAUAUGGCAAGGGGAACGAUGGGCACAGGAGAGAAGGAAACUGCACCCAGCAUAACAGGGAUAGUAAAAUCGGGUGACCAUUACAAUAUCUGCACUGAGAAAAUUUGAUCCUUUUGCCCUUCCCCAUACCAGCAACAUCUCAGCCUGGAAGCUGCAGGUGAAGGUAAGAAGAGCGGCGCAGUUUAAAGGUGGGCAAAUCCUGUGGUCCGGGCCGGGUAAGGUGUUGAACGCAGGAAAUAUGGCAUGCAGAGUGUAAAGAAUUUUGGAAUUAGCAUAAAAAAAAUUGCAUGAAGAAGUAGACAAUCCAGAGAGUUAAUAAACAAAAUCAAAUGUAACA